rnacentral:rRNA from 1 species
UACGGAGGGGGCUAGCGUUGUUCGGAAUUACUGGGCGUAAAGCGCACGUAGGCGGCUUUGCAAGUUAGAGGUGCAAGCCCGGGGCUCAACUCCGGAAUUGCCUUUAAAACUGCAUCGCUAGAAUUGUGGAGAGGUAAGUGGAAUUCCGAGUGUAGAGGUGAAAUUCGUAGAUAUUCGGAAGAACACCAGUGGCGAAGGCGACUUACUGGACACAUAUUGACGCUGAGUGAGCGAAAGCCAGGGGAGCAAACGGG